CAGUUGGUAUCAGAGCUCACUUUGAGGAGUGUUUGGCAAAUUAUGGCUGAAACAAGCAACAAAGUGCAAGAAGCAAGUAGCAAGGGGCAAGUAGUGCAAGCAGAUUCUUCAUUGGUGGGACAGUCGGCUGGUGUAAAGAGCAAGGUGCUACCCAAGUUUAUGAGCUCUUCUAGGUUGAGAGAGGAGUUGGGGAGCAUUGAAAUGAGG
rnacentral:misc_RNA from 1 species